GAGAGGACAGGCCAGGGGCUGAUGGGAACAGACGUGCCCCGCGCAGGCACGCGCGUCUGUUCCAAGCCCCUGACGUCACGUGUCAUGGCCUCUGACCCCAGCAGAAGCGACAGGAGCAGCAAACCCUCCUGCCUCACACGGCCGCAUCGCUGAGCAGAUAAGAGGAUGAGGAUCUACUGACAAAUUAAGGAACCAAUGAUGUCCUGGUGUCAGACUCUGCAGAGAAGAUGGAAGAAAUCCUGGUGUCUGGACCAGAUGAAGAAGAAAAGUAAAGACAACAGAGAAGACGUCACUCAGAGCUCUGUCCUGCUGUCGGGUCCUGAAGGAGGGGAUGGAUUCUCCGAGCACACCGCCUGCAGACAUUACACAGCAGACGAAGAGUAGGGGACUGCCUGCAGAGCUGUCUGUGCCCCUGCCUCCACAUGCAACAGAGGUCCUGACCCCCAGCACUGCCAUCCAGGGAUGGGAGAAGCCAUGUGAGGAUCCUG